GCCUGGCAUGGUGGCAUGUGCCUGUAGUCCCAGCUACUAGAGAGGCUGAGGCUGGAGGAUCACUUGAGCCCAGGAGUUCUGGGCUGUAGUGCGCUAUGCCGAUCGGGUGUCCGCACUAAGUUCGGCAUCAAUAUGGUGACCUCCCGGGAGCGGGGGACCACCAGGUUACCUAAGGAGGGGUGAACUGGCCCAGGUCAGAAACGGAGCAGGUCAAAACUCCCGUGCUGAUCAGUAGUGGGAUCAUGCCUGUGAAUAGCCAGUGCACUCCAGCCUGAGCAACAUAGCAAGACCCCCAUCCUUA
rnacentral:SRP_RNA from 1 species